rnacentral:rRNA from 1 species
GACGAACGCUGGCGGCGUGCCUAACACAUGCAAGUCGAGCGAGAGCCCUGGGUCCCUAGCGGCGGACGGGCGAGUAACACGUGGGGAACCUGCUUCAUAGAGGGGGAUAGCCUCCCGAAAGGGAGAUUAAUACCGCAUAAUAUGCAUUGAUUGCAUGAUUGGUAGAUUCAAGGAGAAAUCAGCUAUGAGCUGGACCGGAGGCGCAUUGGCUAGUUAGAGAGGUGACGGCUCACCAAGGCGACGGUGCGUAGGCGACCUGGGAGGGUGAUCGGCCACAUUGGAACUGAGAAACGGACCAGACUCCUACGGGGGGCAGCGGUGGGGAAUAUUGCACAAUGGGGGAAACCCUGAUGCAGCAACGCCGCGUGAUUGAAGAAGGCCUUCGGGUUGUAAAGCUCUGUCAUUGGGGACUAUGAUGACGGUACCCAAUGAGGAAGCCACGGCUAACUUCGUGCCAGCCGCCGCAGUAAAAC